CCUACGGGAGGCAGCAGUGGGGAAUAUUGGGCAAUGGGCGCAAGCCUGACCCAGCAACGCCGCGUGAAGGAAGAAGGCUUUCGGGUUGUAAACUUCUUUUGUCAGGGAAGAGUAGAAGACGGUACCUGACGAAUAAGCCACGGCUAACUACGUGCCAGGAGCCCCGGUAAUACGUAGGUGGCACGCUUUUUCCGGAUUUACUGGGUGUAAAGGGCGUGUAGCCGGGUUGACAAGUCAGAUGUGAAAUCCUGCGGCUUAACCGCAGAACUGCAUUUGAAACUGUUGAUCUUGAGUACUGGAGAGGCAGAUGGAAUUCCUAGUGUAGCGGUGAAAUGCGUAGAUAUUAGGAGGAACACCAGUGGCGAAGGCGGUCUGCUGGACAGCAACUGACGGUGAGGCGCGAAAGCGUGGGGAGCAAACAGGAUUAGAUACCCUGGUAGUC
rnacentral:rRNA from 1 species